GCCUGCAUGAAGCCGGAAUUGCUAGUAAUGGCAGGUCAGCAUACUGCCGUGAAUACGUUCCCGGGCCUUGUACACACCGCCCGUCACACCAUGAGAGUUGGGGAUACCCAAAGCCCGUGAGCCAACUGUAAAGAGGCAGCGGUCUAAGGUAGAAUCAAUGAUUGGGGUGAAGUCGUAACAAGGUAAC
rnacentral:rRNA from 1 species